rnacentral:rRNA from 1 species
ACGCUCGACACCUACGGGAGCAGCAGUAGGGAAUUUUCGGCAAUGGGGGGAACCCUGACCGAGCAACGCCGCGUGAAGGAAGAAGGAAUUCGUUCUGUAAACUUCUGUUAUAAAGGAAGAACGGCGGAUAUAGGGAAUGAUAUCCGAGUGACGGUACUUUAUGAGAAAGCCACGGCUAACUACGUGCAGCAGCCGGACGGUAAUCUGAGGCGGGCGUGGACGAAGGC